AAAUGAAUAGACGGGGGCCCGCACAAGCGGCGGAGCAUGCGGAUUAAUUCGAUGCAACGCGAAGAACCUUACCAAGGCUUGACAUACACCGGAAGCGUGCAGAGAUGUGCGUGCCGUAAGGCCGGUGUACAGGUGGUGCAUGGUUGUCGUCAGCUCGUGUCGUGAGAUGUUGGGUUAAGUCCCGCAACGAGCGCAACCCUUGUCCUGUGUUGCCAGCGGGUUAUGCCGGGGACUCAUGGGAGACUGCCGGGGUCAACUCGGAGGAAGGUGGGGAUGACGUCAAAUCAUCAUGCCCCUUAUGUCUUGGGCUUCACGCAUGCUACAAUGGCCGGUACAAAGGGCUGCGAUACCGCGAGGUGGAGCGAAUCCCAAAAAGCCGGUCUCAGUUCGGAUUGGGGUCUGCAACUCGACCCCAUGAAGUCGGAGUCGCUAGUAAUCGCAGAUCAGCAACGCUGCGGUGAAUACGUUCUCGGGCCUUGUACACACCGCCCGU
rnacentral:rRNA from 1 species